rnacentral:rRNA from 1 species
UACAGAGGGUGCGAGCGUUGUCCGGAAUCACUGGGCGUAAAGAGCGUGUAGGCGGCCACGCAGGUCCGUUGUGAAAACUGGAGGCUCAACCUCCAGCUGUCGACGGAAACCGUGUGGCUAGAGUCCGGAAGAGGAGAGUGGAAUUCCUGGUGUAAGCGGUGAAAUGCGCAGAUAUCAGGAAGAACACCAAUGGCGAAGGCAGCUCUCUGGGACGGUACUGACGCUGAGACGCGAAAGCGUGGGGAGCGAACAGG